UUGCACCUGUGUAAUGAUCAUGCUGUUUAAUCAACUUAUUGACAUGCCACACCUGGUGGAUUAUCUUGGCAAAGGAGAAAUGCAGGGAUGUAAACACAUUUGUGCACAACAUUUUAGAGAAAUAAGCUUUUUGUGCGUAUGGAACAUUUCUGGGAUAUUUUAUUUCAGUUCAUGAAACAUGGGACCAAUGCUUUAUAUGUUGCUUUUAUAUUUUUGUUCAGUGUAGAUAAAAAUCGGUUUGCACUGGCUUUGCAAAUUACAGCCAGCACUCUGUUCAGAGUUCCUAAGUAGGUCUACCAGACAAUCCUACUGGUCUGUCCGUGCCUUAAGGGAUACUUCGGGAUUUUGUCAGAAACCCUUUAUCUACUUCCCCAGAGUCAGAUUAACUCGUGGAUACCAUUUUAUGUCUCUGCGUGCAGUUUGAAAGAAGUUGCUAGCUAGUGCAAUGACAGAAAGUCUAUGGUAAUUGCUAGCAUGCUAAUAGUAACAUAGACUUCCAGUCAUUGCGCUAACACUAGUUAGCAUUGGCUCACGAAACUACCUCUAACUUCCUUCAUACUGGACAGAGACAUGGUAUCGAUGAGUUCAUCUGACUUUGGGGAAGUAGAUAAAGGGCCUCAUUGCCAAAAUCCCGAAGUAUCCCUUUAAAAUAAAUUAGAGCCUGCAUGUCACCUUUAAGUGAGUACAUGGAUUUAUUUGACAUUUCUCAAUGUACCAUAUACCUAUACUGCAGUCAAUUUAACAUGAUUAACCUUUGUUUUUCAGAUGUACAAAUGCUUUUUAAACCUCCCCAUCUUAGUUACAUUGAAACGUCUUGGUUGUAGUGCCUUUCACCUUUCUAAAUCCACCCUUCCAGUGGGAUCACGAUUAUCCAGAUUUUCGGCAUCAAAACUAUACAAACAACUACCUUUCACGUUUUGAAAAACGCUAGAACAACAUUGAAGUAUGAUUAAAGGUAAGAUUGGUUACCAAAGCGAUUCACUAACCAAGAGGAUCAGAAUCUAAUUUAACAUUUAUUCAAAUCUGAUUUAUGAAAUCUGAUCAGAAAAUAUUUUAACAACUGGACCCAGGAGAUUGACGUGACAUGACCAGGAAAAACUCUUGACCCUAGUUCGGGAAUAUGUUUGAAGUCCGUUGUCAUGUUCCAACUACUGGCUUUUGAACCCAACAAAUAUCUCAGUAUUAAAAGUUGUCUGUUAUUGUGUCUUAACCUUUUACACUUGUGGGAAUUGGCCUAUAUGGUUAGGGCUAAAUUUAAAUGUUUCAUACAGAAGAAAUAUGCAAAGCAUGGUAGCAAUUGGACUGGAACAGUUAGGAGAUUAUGGGAAAGUUAUUAGACCAAAGUUGAGGACACAACAGUUCACCUGACACAAGACUGAAUCCAAACAUUACACUGUUGAUUUUAUGCAUUUGACAUUCACUGUACUUUUUGCCGCAUUUGUUGAUAACAACAUCUGAAAAUAUUCUGGAGACAUUCAGUAGUAUGAUAAGAAUAUUCCUGGAAAAUGUAUGGUAGGUGCAACAUAAGACAAAAAAAUGACAAGGAUUUGAGUAAGAGGACCAAGUGGCCACAUACCUCUCCAAAGUGUGCACAGUUUCCAAGGAAAUUCAAUGCACUUUUAUGACUGGAAGAGUGUUUUUUUUGAGCAAGCACAAAAAAGAUCCCAACCCUGCAUCCCCACCAUCACACAAUUCUGUGUUGUUGUUUACCCAAAAACCGCCCAUUAUAAAUCGAAUCUGGGUCAGGUGGAAAGCUUGUUCUAUUGCCUACAUGAGUUAUAAAAUAUGAUCUUAGUGUUAGGCUUUCACAGGGAAAUUCAGAUAAAUCUUGGUGCAGAUAAUAGUCAUGAGUGCGUUCAGGUGCGUGUUCUAAAGCCAAUUUUCUUCACAAUAGACAAACAGGCUCAUUCUGUUCAGAACAACCCAGGGUAUGACGCCAUGUCAUUCUUGUAACUGUACAUCAAGCAUAGUGAUCAUAAACGUUGACACUGUAUAUGACAUGGGUUUUGUGAUAUGGAAAUGCAAAGUGGACGUUUGGAUGUUUGGUUUGCUUGUAUGAUAUCAAAGCUGUAUUUGUUAUAAUCCUGAACAUCUCAUCUUUCAAAAUAUAGACUCCACUUAAUUUACAGCAUUUCGCUCACCACGAUAACAAGAAAUGUGCAAAAGUUGCCCAAUUAGCGGGAGGGUUUGUGGCAACUUUAUGUCGUGUGCAGUGCUGAAGUUCAGAACAGCUUUCAGUCAAAACCCAUACAGUGCUGUGAAGCACAGAGUGAGCGCUGAUGUCAUUUAUAGCAUGUUACUGUACAGCCACUGCGUUACAUUUUCAAGCCGUAUACAGGUACGAGUGUAAAUGGUUAAUAGAUCACAGUGGGAGCACAUCAAAGUUAUGAACAGGUAUUCAUCAUUUCUUUGUAUUUUGAUCUUCUGUCAUGUUCUAUCCAAAACAGGACUUCAUCAGAGGGCAAGGAUAUCAUCAACCAGAGGAUAGGGCUGCUCCUGGCUAUUAUCCUCAAGACUAAUGCGUCUGUUUGUAACUUUGUCCAGUCCUUCCUGAGAUGGGAGUUUUGGAGACAGGGCUGUCCUAAAAGCACAUUUAAAACCCACUAUGCCCUGGGGGUGACUAGUUCCAUGUUGCCAGAACUGCAGCAGAGAGACUCCGGUCUGGGAGGACUAUGGAGGAGAGUGGAGAGGAUGAAGAUGAGGACUCCUCUUGUGGAUCUGAGGAGAGUCUGAGUGCUUCUGAAGAGUCUCCCAGUUCUUCCCCAACCCACUCUCUGGCCUGGCCCUAUGACCAAUCCCACUCCCCAGCUCACUCCAGAGAGAGGUCUCGUUCCCGAUCCCACUCAAAGUAAGAACAGUUCUGUCUAUGUUAGAUCAGAUUAGCGUGUGAUAGUUUUCUAUCCCCUCAGGUCUGGUUUCCGCAGGCACUAUUCCCAUUCCCACCGCGAGAGUUCUCAACCCACUCCAGGUGAGAAGUGCUCUCUGGAGUUUUGAGUCACCUUUGUUUCCAACAUUGAUUGAUAUAAAAACUGGAUAUUUUCUAUUAACCCACCAGAGCGAACGCAACACAUUAGAAUUUUUGUUCACCAUCUCCAGGGGUCUCAUUUAUCAACUGUGCGUAAAUUACAAAUGAUUGAGAUUUAUCAAACUGUUGAUCGCAACAUAUACGCAUGUUUUCAUUGAUAAAUCAGAGCCAUACUAUAUUUGUGCAGUCAUGGACUAGCCCUCCAUUCACCUUUUAUGGUAACAAAAAUACCCUAAUAUGCUGUAUGAUUUGGAAAUGUUGGAACUGGGCCAUGACAGUUCCUAAAACAGAGAGCAAUGGCAAAUUUGAUCACACUUCUGUCAAUAUUUUGCAAUUACUUUUUCAUACUCAACAUGCAUGCGAGUUCCAAACACUGGCUGCACAUUCUGCAAGAUUGAUUGUCUAUUCAAGUAAAUGCUACAGCCCACAAGUGUAUGCAAAAGAAAAACUGCUGUUCAAUCUUUUUUUAUCGAUAGAUGAUUGUGUUUUUAUCUCCUGGCUUGAUAUAGGCUCUGAGAUUAAAUAGGCUAUGACGUUGUACACCUAUUGCACAGAUAUUUAUCAUUAUGUUUUUAUUCACAUUAUUAUGAACGAUUCCAUUUCCCCCAAAUAACAAUAUUUGCUGGCAAUACCAUUCUUCAAACACUAGAAGUUGUGCGUACGCACGGUCUAAGCUGUGCGUGGAGAUACGCACCCUUUCCGUCAAAUUAACAUUUGAUGAAUACCAACCUUUGCAGGAAAACUGGCACACACAAGGGUUAGUGUUUUUUGUGCUUACGCACUUUUGAUAAAUGUGGCCCCAGAACUCGUUCCCACAGAAGCUCCCGCAGGCACUAUUCUCGCUCCCGUUCCCACCACCGGCAUUUCCGGAGCCGCUCCCACAGCCCAGAAUACUGUUUGCGUCGGCGCCACAGCCAUUCUCCCAUGUCCAACAGGCACAUCGGCAACAGGGUAAGUGUACCAACACACACGCACUAAAUGUUAUGAGUGUAGUUGAUGUGAUGGUGUGUGUGUGUUCCAGAGUGCGGAGAACAGAAUGGAAUCAGACAGGAAGGAGAUGAGAAGUUUCCUCCACCACUGAACCAUCAAACACAGACCAGACUCCAACCCCAGUCCACAACCCCCUCA